rnacentral:rRNA from 1 species
AUUGAACGCUGGCGGCAGGCUUAACACAUGCAAGUCGAGCGGAGAUGAGGUGCUUGCACCUUAUCUUAGCGGCGGACGGGUGAGUAAUGCUUAGGAAUCUGCCUAUUAGUGGGGGACAACAUUCCGAAAGGAGUGCUAAUACCGCAUACGCCCUACGGGGGAAAGCAGGGGAGUUUCGGACCUUGCGCUAAUAGAUGAGCCUAAGUCGGAUUAGCUAGUUGGUGGGGUAAAGGCCUACCAAGGCGACGAUCUGUAGCGGGUCUGAGAGGAUGAUCCGCCACACUGGGACUGAGACACGGCCCAGACUCCUACGGGAGGCAGCAGUGGGGAAUAUUGGACAAUGGGCGGAAGCCUGAUCCAGCCAUGCCGCGUGUGUGAAGAAGGCCUUUUGGUUGUAAAGCACUUUAAGCGAGGAGGAGGCUACCUGGAUUAAUACUCUAGGAUAGUGGACGUUACUCGCAGAAUAAGCACCGGCUAACUCUGUGCCAGCCGCCGCUGUAAUAC